AGCUAACAACUACAAAGAGUCUCGGUGUGAGAGUGUUCUGCGAGCCAUGGAGAGGUGUUGUGAGAAGCCCUCCGCUCAGGACUCAGUCUGCUGCUCAGGGUUCAGAAAAAACAACAGAAGGAAACAUGAGGACAAGGAGAAAAGAUGACAGGACACUGGGGAAGACACACAGGCUGAAUGAAUAGUAGAAAUCGGCCUCAAAAGAGUGUAGCUGGCCAGGGGAGUUGGCCAGCGAUAGAGGGGCCCAGUUUGCCAACGAAGACUAAGAAUACAGGAAAGUGACUGAUUUGCUAAAAACUCAGAAAAACUUUCCAGUU